rnacentral:rRNA from 1 species
GACGAACGCUGGCGGCGCGCUUAACACAUGCAAGUCGAGCGAGAACCAGACCUUCGGGUCUGGGGACAGCGGCGAACGGGUGAGUAACACGUGGGUAAUCAACCCUCGGUACUGGGAUAGCCCGGGGAAACCCGGAUUAAUACCGGAUGGCCCUUCGGAUCUUCGGUUCUGAAGGAAAAGGUAGCUUCGGCCUCCGACCGAGGACGAGCCCGCGGCGGAUUAGCUUGUUGGUGGGGGAACGGCCUACCAAGGCGGCGAUCGGUAGCUGGUCUGAGAGAACGAUCAGCCACACUAGGACUGAGACACGGCCCAGACGUCUCCGGAAGGCAGCAGUGGGGAAUCUUGCGCUAAUGCGGGAAACCGUGACGCAGCGACGCCGCGUGAGGGAAGAAGGCCUUCGGGUUGUAAACCUCUUUCAGGAGGGACGAAGCUACUCGGGUUAAUAGCCCAGAGGGUGACGGUACCUUCAGAAGAAGCCCCGGCUAACUACGUGCCAGCCGCCGCGGUAA